rnacentral:rRNA from 1 species
UACAGAGGGUGCGAGCGUUAAUCGGAAUUACUGGGCGUAAAGCGCGCGUAGGCGGCUUAUUAAGUCAGAUGUGAAAUCCCCGGGCUCAACCUGGGAACUGCAUCUGAUACUGGUAAGCUAGAGUUUUGGAGAGGGAAGUAGAAUUUCAGGUGUAGCGGUGAAAUGCAUAGAGAUCUGAAGGAAUACCAGUGGCGAAGGCGACUUCCUGGCCAAAAACUGACGCUGAGGUGCGAAAGCGUGGGUAGCAAACGGGAUUAGAAACCCGUGUAGUCC